rnacentral:rRNA from 1 species
GAUGAACGCUGGCGGCGUGCCUAACACAUGCAAGUCGAACGGGAAUCUUCGGAUUCUAGUGGCGGACGGGUGAGUAACGCGUAAGAAUCUAACUUCAGGACGGGGACAACAGUUAGAAAUGACUGCUAAUACCGGAUGUGCCGAAAGGUGAAAGAUUUAUUGCCUGAAAAGAGCUCGCGUCAGAUUAGCUAGUAGGUGGUGUAAGAGACUACCUAGGCGACGAUCUGUAGCUGGUCUGAGAGGACGAUCGGCCACACUGGAACUGAGACACGGUCCAGACUCCUACGGGAGGCAGCAGUGGGGAAUUUUCCGCAAUGGGCGAAAGCCUGACGGAGCAAUACCGCGUGAGGGACGAAGGCUUUUUGGGCGUAAACCUCUUUUACUCAAGGAAGAUAAUGACGGUACUUGAGGAAUAAGCAUCGGCUAACUCUGUGCCAGCAGCCGCGGUAA